UCUUUUAGAUUUUUUAAAGUUUCUGACAAUGGGUAAAAAAAAAGAUGUGAAUGUUUGUAAAAAAAAGUGAAAUAAUGUCACUUUUAAGGAACACCAAUUAUUCUCAACGAGAAAUUUCAAGAAGAAUUGGCGUUUCUAAGGGCGUUUCUAAGCAGACCGUGCAAAGAAUAGCAUCAAAAAUAAUCACAACAUUGAUUAAAGAUGCUGGAAUUAAUAUUAGUGAUCGCACAGUCAGGAGAGACGCUUAGGUGAGUUAUGCUUUAAGUAUUACCGUCCUGCGAAAAAACCAAAAUUAACGCCUGCCAUGAAGGAUAAAAGACUGAAAUGGGCUAUUAAACACCGCGAUAUGACAACAGAUGAUUGGAGAAAGGUGUGCUUUUCUGAUGAAUCCACGUUUCAGAUCUUGGACGACAAAGCCUCAUUUGUGCGACAAAGAGUGGGUAAAAAAUUUAAUCCAGACUGCAUUAUCGAGACAGUAAAACAUCCAUUGUCAAUUAUAGUGUGGUCCGUUAUAUGUGGUAAGGGUACGGAAAGGCUUUACAUAGUCCAAGGGACAAUGAGGCAGGGCCAAUACAAAGAAGUUUUGGAGCAAAAGCUCAUGCGUCAAGUCUCGGAAUGGUUUCCAGAUGGCGAAUUUAUAUUUAUGCAAAAUUCUGCCACAUGCCAUACGGCAAAAUCCAUUAAAAAGUUUCUUGGAGAGAAAAAAAUUCCACUGCUGGAUUGGCCAGGAAAUUCCCCGGAUCUUAAUCCUAUAGAAAACCUGUGGGAGCAAUUAAAACGGGAGGUUUCUUCAAAGGAACUGGUGACAAAUAAAACCCAGCUUAUUGAAAAACUAAAUGAAGGUUGGCAUCGAAACCCUCACAUAAAAGAAUUGGCACAGAAAUGCAUUGACAGCAUGCCACGGAGAGUAGAAGCUGUUAUAGCAGCAAAGGGUGGAUUUACAAAAGUUUGAUAACAUUUUUUAUAUAUAUAAAAAAAAUUCGUUUGUUUUUAUACUUAUAUUUGAUAAUAAACAACUAUUCUUUAUAUUUUUAACUAUUUUUUACCGUAAACCUUUAUUUUUUUUUACAUUAUGGAUAAAAUUUUACAAAAAUGUGUAGAAAACUCAAUGGCCCUAUUUCAAUGGCCACCCACUGUACUUUUGCACUUCGAUAUUUCAUAUUUUUUAAUACUCCUUUUCAGUAGUCUUUUUUACGACUUGCGCAAUAAAGACCAAUUAUAUAUUGGUCUUCCUCGUUGUGCAAUGAGGCAGAUCAAUUGUAUGUUGUUUCCUUUAUACAUUUCAAUAACACAUAAGUGCUGCGACCAUCUAAUACAAGAAUAUAUUUUUCAUCAGUUGCUUUAACUGUGGGAAUAAAUAACCACUCUAAUCAUUCAAUAAAUUGCAAUUUCUACUAUCAGUCAAAAAUCUCGUUUUAUAUAUAUUGUAUUAGUUGGACCAUCAUUUUUAAUUUAAUUUCUGUCAAUCAAUGUCAACUUCAAUAAAUUGAACUUAAAUGCAUGUAUUCUUGAUAAUAUUCCUUGCUCUCGAUGAUGUUUUAAAUUAUUUUUUGAUAUUUAUUUUGCUGUAGUUGUUGUUUAGCAUUUUAUUGAUACUGAAGAUUUAUUGAUAAAUGUAUUAAUUUACAUGAAUAAGAUUAUUAUUUGUAAAUUAUCAAAGAGAAACCGGGGUUCAUUUAUCGAAGUUGAACUAAGUUUAUAAAUGUCCCGCUGGCUAUAUCAGGAUGUGUAUUUAUCAAGGUGUGUAUAUAUAUUAAGAUGUCGAAAAAACCAUUAAAAGAAGAUUUGCUAAUAAAAUCGGAUGCCGUUAAUAAUUCCUACAAAGUAUCUUAUCAACUUAGCAAGUUUCGAAGUUACAAUAACGCAUUCGGUCCUACCUUAACCGAUAAAGUAUUGUAAAAAUUAAUUAUUAAUUGUUCGAGAGAUGAAAAAUUCUUCGGAUUUACGAUAAAUUUUAUAAUAAUUGUGCAACUAAACUAAAUCUUUCAUCUCACAUAGUUUUUGUUUUUAUUAUUAUUUUUUUAAAUAUUCUAACAUUCCGGAAAUUAAUCAAUAUUAUGAAAGAUAACAUUUUAAAUCUUUUUUUACUGUUACUUUAUAUUAUUUAACAAACAUUUUUUGUUUGCAUGAGUAAUUAUUUCAAAUUUUUCUUGUAGACAUAAUGUUCGUUUUUUGGAAAUAUUGUUAUAUCCAGGUGCUAUUUCAGGGGUUUGUUUUAGGAAUUUGUCAGUUGAUAAACCAAUCAAAUGUUUAUAUGAGGAAAAUAAAAAAUAAAAUAAAAACUUUUAUAAAAGUAAUUUAAUUAAAUGUGAAUAAUUGAUUCAAAGAAUCGGUUUGCUUAAUUGUGCAAAUCGAUACUUAAAUUGAUACAAAUUGUUUCUUUUGACAAGAAGUUGGUCUUUGCAAGAAAAUGCAAAUAUGACGGCAUUUUUUACUUUUCAAUAGUCUUUCUAAGACACAUCAAUUAAACAUUCAACUUUUUAAUGAAUAAAGUUAUUGCAUUAUUCUCAAUGUUUCAUUUCUUUACCUUUUAAAAUAAGGUAACAUAGAAAUGAUGUAAAUAACCAUAUUGUAACU